rnacentral:lncRNA from 1 species
CUUAAACCAUAACUUGUCAGAAGUAGGGACUUCAAUCAUUUUGUGCCAUUUUUUUUUAAAUUUUUAUUUAUUUAUGAUAGGCACACAGUGAGAGAGAGAGAGGCAGAGACACAGGCAGAGGGAGAAGCAGGCUCCAUGCACCAAGAGCCCGACGUGGGACUCGAUCCCGGAUCUCCAAGAUCACGCCCUGGGCCAAAGGCAGGCGCCAAACGCUGCACCACCCAGGGAUCCCAUUUUGUGCCAUUUUUAACCAGAGUUCCUAUGUAUCUUUCCUGCCCCUGCAGGCUGGCUUCAUCUAGUGCUUAUUCAUCAAACCUCUCUAUUCUUCAGUGUAUUUAUGACUUGAUCUUCCCUGUAGCAUGUUCAAAGAAUAAAUACCUUUAUCUGAAACAGGGGAGGACUUGUUUUCAAUCAUUGCAUCAUUCACAUUUGUGGACCUGGCUGGCUGCCUCUCAAGUUCAAAAGUUGUUCAGUGGUGUCUCCAUUCAUAUGAAGUGCGCCGUGAAGGUGACUUAAACAUCUCCAGGUUUCCUGUCACAAAUGAGAUGUGAUGACAUCAUGCUCAUUGAAGUCUGCUGUAUUCCCAACCACAAAAAGGCUGAGAAGAAAGAGAAGAAAGGAAGUAUGGCAAUAAUGUCGCCCAUUCUUUCCGAGGCAAAGCUAAGGGUUGGAGUGGGAGAAGAGGGGACAAACACAAAUCACUUCAUCUACAUUCCUGGUAUGUAGAGCUUUCCAAAAUGUACCUUGUAAAUGAUUUAGGCUUUCCGUAAAACUUCUUCUUUGCCAACAAGAUACAACAGUUUACAAGGAAAGAUUUCAAAAAAACAUGUAUGUUGUCAGACCUAGAUUCGAGUCCUGGCUUGAGACUUCUCAUUAUAGGAAAUAAUCAAUUCUUCUUAUUGUAUAAGUCAGUUUGAUUAGUUUUCCUAUGAAACUUAAUACCAAAAGCCUCUUAACAAAUGGAUCAAUUCUACAAAAUUGGAAUUUGAACACCUACAUCAGAGGGUUUUGAGAAAAGAAUGAGUAAAUAUGUAUUUCACAUGGUGCUUGUCAUAUUGCAUAUGCUUAAUAAAUGUCACCCUUGUCAUAACUGACA